rnacentral:pre_miRNA from 1 species
CUCCCUCAGGUUGGUUGGUCCCCAGGGUGGACUGGGUGAGUAUCUUUGAAAGGUUCACCUUCGAGAAUAACUAGGAGC